GAAAUACCUUGAAAGGGCAAAUUUAUAGAGACAAAAAGUAGAUUAGAGAGGUUACCAGGGAUCAGAGGGUGAGGAGCAUGGGAAGGUAUUGAUUGAUGGUAUAGAGUUUCUGUUGGGGAUGAUGAAAAGCCUUUGGUUAGAAACAAUGGUGUCGGUUGCAUGACACUGAAUGUAAUUAAUGACACCAACUAUGCAUUUAAAAUAGUUACAACGGCAAAUAUUGUGUUCUAUAUAUUUUACCACCAUUUUUUAGUUCUCACCAGGGGAUAUUUUUUCCAUUGUUAUUUA